rnacentral:rRNA from 1 species
GACGAACGCUGGCGGCGUGCUUAACACAUGCAAGUCGCACGGAGUGGCGAACGGGUGAGUAACACGCAGGUGACCUGCCCUGCACUUCGGGAUACGCCUGGGAAACUGGGUCUAAUACCGGAUAGUGUGGGAUGGGCCCGGGGACAAUCAGCGUGUUGGUGGGGUACUGGCCUACCAAGCCGGCGACGGGUAGCCGGCCUGAGAGGGUGGACUGCCACAGUGGGACUGAGACACGGCCCAGACUCCUACGGGAGGCAGCAGGGGGGAAUAUUGCACAAUGGGCGGAAGCCUGAUGCAGCGACGCCGCGUGGGGGAUGACGGCCUUCGGGUUGUAAACUCCUUUCACCAUCGACGCGGGAGAUGGAGAAGAAGCACCGGCUAACUACGUGCCAGCAGCCGCGGUAAUAC